GAUGAACGCUAGCGGCAGGCUUAACAUCAUGCAAGGUCGAGGGGUAUAGUAGCAAUACUAGAGACCGGCGCACGGGUGCGUAACGCGUAUGCAAUCUACCUUUUGCAGAGGGAUAGCCCAGAGAAAUUUGGAUUAAUACCUCAUAGUAUAUAGAGUUGGCAUCAACACUAUAUUAAAGUCACAACGGCAAAAGAUGAGCAUGCGUCCCAUUAGCUAGUUGGUAAGGUAACGGCUUACCAAGGCAACGAUGGGUAGGGGUCCUGAGAGGGAGAUCCCCCACACUGGUACUGAGACACGGACCAGACUCCUACGGGAGGCAGCAGUGAGGAAUAUUGGACAAUGGGCGCAAGCCUGAUCCAGCCAUGCCGCGUGCAGGAUGACGGUCCUAUGGAUUGUAAACUGCUUUUAUACGAGAAGAAACACUCCUUCGUGAAGGAGCUUGACGGUAUCGUAAGAAUAAGGAUCGGCUAACUCCGUGCCAGCAGCCGCGGUAAUACGGAGGAUCCAAGCGUUAUCCGGAAUCAUUGGGUUUAAAGGGUCCGUAGGCGGAUUUGUAAGUCAGUGGUGAAAUCUCUCCGCUCAACGGGGAAACGGCCAUUGAUACUGCAAGUCUUGAAUUAUUAGGAAGUAACUAGAAUAUGUAGUGUAGCGGUGAAAUGCUUAGAGAUUACAUGGAAUACCAAUUGCGAAGGC
rnacentral:rRNA from 1 species